rnacentral:rRNA from 1 species
GGCGGACGGGUGAGUAAUGCCUAGGAAAUUGCCCUGAUGUGGGGGAUAACCAUUGGAAACGAUGGCUAAUACCGCAUGAUGCCUACGGGCCAAAGAGGGGGACCUUCGGGCCUCUCGCGUCAGGAUAUGCCUAGGUGGGAUUAGCUAGUUGGUGAGGUAAGGGCUCACCAAGGCGACGAUCCCUAGCUGGUCUGAGAGGAUGAUCAGCCACACUGGAACUGAGACACGGUCCAGACUCCUACGGGAGGCAGCAGUGGGGAAUAUUGCACAAUGGGCGCAAGCCUGAUGCAGCCAUGCCGCGUGUGUGAAGAAGGCCUUCGGGUUGUAAAGCACUUUCAGUCGUGAGGAAGGUGGCGUAAUUAAUAGCUGCAUUAUUUGACGUUAGCGACAGAAGAAGCACCGGCUAACUCCGUGCCAGCAGCCGCGGUAAUACGGAGGGUGCGAGCGUUAAUCGGAAUUACUGGGCGUAAAGCGCAUGCAGGUGGUUUGUUAAGUCAGAU